rnacentral:misc_RNA from 1 species
GUGAGUCAUCGAAUCUUUGAACGCACCUUGCACCCUUUGGUAUUCCGAAGGGUACACCCGUUUGAGUGUCAUUGUAAUCUCACCUCUUCAACUUUUUUGUUGAUCCGUGUGGACUUGGAUGUUGCCGUGUAACAAACGGCUCAUCUGAAAUGCCUGAGUGUACCCUGCUUUGCGGCGUAUUCGGUGUGAUAAAUCUUCACCGGAGUUGACCUUUGGGUCGCGUCUGCUUGACACGGCUCUAUGCUUCCAACCGUCUUAACAAGACAAUCUUUGACAAUUUGACCUCAAAUCGGGUGGGAC